CUUUGCAACUCGUGAUUGGUGGGACUGACGUAACGUAACCUUGAAUAUACAGUGUAAAUCAGCGGUCGCCAACCGGUACCGACCCGUGCGUCGUUUGGUACCGCACCACGAGAGUUGAGGCUCAGCAUAAAAUUGAUGGUUUUCAGGGUUUCUUUUUACUUUUAUCGUUAACUCUGUUUCCCUGGGUCUUUUCUUGUGUUGUAGGUGUGUCUUAAUUUUAAAGAAAUAUUUACGCGUUACCAUAGCGACCAGAGAGCAUUAAGGGGCAGAGAGGAGGACGUUAUUCUCAAUGUUGUUGGAGGACACUGCUAAUAAAGUUAUACACAGUAAAUUCGCGUUUAUUGUCAUAUUUACAAAAUACCACAGGUUUUGUCUUGGUCGCAUCAUUUUAUUUCAUCAUUUUUAUUUUAUUUAUUUGCCAAGGAGUUGCCAUUUGGUGUGUAGACUAAUGAACAAUGCACCUCGUAGGACAAAACAUAGUAUGCUGUCCUUUUGGUAUAGUGUGUACAGUUAUCAGUAAAUAAUAAUAAUAAUAAAAAAUAAUAAUAUAAUUUAAAUUGCCCAAAUUAAAAGGUUAAAUCCAACCUAUACUGCACAUGUUCUCUUUAAAUGGCUCAACUUAAAUACUUGCCGAAUAUGUCAGGUGAACAAGUGCUUAAUAUUUAUUCAUCAAAUUUGGCACAAAUAGGAUAUUUACAAACAUAUUUGCAAAUGCAAACAUUUUCUAUAUGCUUUUCAAGGUUCCUUUGUUUUGCUUUCUUAAUUGUCUUCAGAGGUUCCUUGUUCCAAACCUGUUUCCCAUUUCCUGCUUAGCCCAAGUGUGUCAGUUUGUAUUAAUUGUCUGUGGUCCUGCCCUCUUCUUGUGUUCUCCCUGCUUUUCAAGAUAUUUAGUUCCCUUUCAUCACGGAUAUUUAUUUCAUUUAGCUUAUAAAAUCGAGGAUUUUGUAUUUUAGACCCAAUGCCUGAAAUACAUGUAGUUUUAGGUUAUUCCUUCUGGUUUGUGAGCCCUGUAUUAUUUUCCUCCUCUCACAAUAUGAUAGUUUGGCUGGCAGUAAUAGGUAUGUGUGUUUUAAAGGACAGGGAAACAAAGCUUACAAACUGUAGCUUGUUUCUGAAAGAUAAUAAUAGUUAACUUUCAGGAACAGUUUAACUUUUGCAGGACAUUUGUUGUUUGAACAGUUUGUUACUGAUGUUAUUCACAUUGUAAUUUCAGUGUCUAUGAGAUUUCUCACUGAAAUGAUAUUUACUAUUAAUUUCAAUUCAAGUUAUUUUUUCUUUGUGCGCAACGCAGAUUUUCUGUGCGCAGAGACCAUGCCAGCAGUGCGCAGUUUGACCCAUUUAGCAGAAGCCAGCCUGUUUAAGGCUCUGAUAUCUAUUCUGUAUGACUUAAAUCAGUUAUGACAUGGUAGGAUUUUCUCACCCAAUACAGGAAUACUUAAUAUAUCAGUCUACUCUUUAUUCUAUCAGAAAUAGUUAUCAGAGCUCGUACACUUUCUUUUUACACAUAUACGUAAGCAUUGAGCCAAAUUUAGUAAUGCCAACAUAUUAAAAGAACAAUAUUUGUCUCUUAUGUCUCAGCUAUCUUUUACGGUGUGGUCUGCUGGGGCGGCAACAUCUCUGCCGGGGACAGGAAGAGACUGAACAGGCUGAUUCGAAGGGCCAGCCCUGUUGUAGGAUGCCCUCUGGACCCAGUGGAGGUGGAUCUCAAACUCAAGGAAAGGAACAAACAUCAAAUUCUCUGUCAAACCGACCCGACCUUUCUGCUGAAGAUAAUCACCAGUGAUGAAGUCUGAACCUCCAGUGUGAAACCAGAGACAAAACCACAGAUGUCACACUUAAAAUGGGCACAGGACAAGUAAAGAAGCCAUCCACAGCAUGGACGCCUACAUGGUCUUUGAGCAGGUCCAGUCUUUCAAAAGUUUCUGGGCAUAGGAGACAAGAAUAGGAGCGAUUCUCUGUGUGCACUAGGAGAUGAUCAUCCAG